AGAGCGGCGUACGGGUGCGGAACACGUGUGCAACCUGCCUUUAUCAGGGGGAUAGCCUUCCGAAAGGAAGAUUAAUACCCCAUAAUAUAUUAUAUGGCAUCAUAUGAUAUUGAAAAACUCCGGUGGAUAAAGAUGGGCACGCGCAAGAUUAGAUAGUUGGUGAGGUAACGGCUCACCAAGUCAGUGAUCUUUAGGGGGCCUGAGAGGGCGAUCCCCCACACUGGUACUGAGACACGGACCAG
rnacentral:rRNA from 1 species